UACGUAGGGUGCGAGCGUUGUCCGGAUUUAUUGGGCGUAAAGAGCUCGUAGGCGGUUUGUCGCGUCGGCCGUGAAAUCUCCACGCUUAACGUGGAGCGUGCGGUCGAUACGGGCAGACUUGAGUUCGGUAGGGGAGACUGGAAUUCCUGGUGUAGCGGUGAAAUGCGCAGAUAUCAGGAGGAACACCGGUGGCGAAGGCGGGUCUCUGGGCCGACACUGACGCUGAGGAGCGAAAGCGUGGGGAGCGAACAGG
rnacentral:rRNA from 1 species